rnacentral:rRNA from 1 species
UUAAUGAGAGUUUGAUCCUGGCUCAGGACGAACGCUGGCGGCGUGCCUAAUACAUGCAAGUAGAACGCUGAAGGAGGAGCUUGCUUCUCUGGAUGAGUUGCGAACGGGUGAGUAACGCGUAGGUAACCUGCCUGGUAGCGGGGGAUAACUAUUGGAAACGAUAGCUAAUACCGCAUAAGAGUGGAUGUUGCAUGACAUUUGCUUAAAAGGUGCACUUGCAUCACUACCAGAUGGACCUGCGUUGUAUUAGCUAGUUGGUGGGGUAAGGGCUCACCAAGGCGACGAUACAUAGCCGACCUGAGAGGGUGAUCGGCCACACUGGGACUGAGACACGGCCCAGACUCCUACGGGAGGCAGCAGUAGGGAAUCUUCGGCAACGGACGGAAGUCUGACCGAGCAACGCCGCGCAAAUGAAGAAGGUUUUUGGAAUGUCAA